GACGUAGGGCGCGAGCGUUGUCCGGAUUUAUUGGGCGUAAAGAGCUCGUAGGCGGCUCGUCGCGUCAGCUGUGAAAACCCGCAGCUUAACUGUGGGCUUGCAGCUGAUACGGGCGGGCUAGAGUUCGGUAGGGGAGACUGGAAUUCCUGGUGUAGCGGUGAAAUGCGCAGAUAUCAGGAAGAACACCCGUGGCGAAGGCGGCUCUCUGGUACGUGACUGACGCUGAGACGCGAAAGCGUGGGGAGCGAACAGG
rnacentral:rRNA from 1 species